rnacentral:rRNA from 1 species
CGCCAGACUCCUACGGGAGGCAGCAGUGGGGAAUAUUGCACAAUGGGGGAAACCCUGAUGCAGCGACGCCGCGUGAGUGAAGAAGUAUUUCGGUAUGUAAAGCUCUAUCAGCAGGGAAGAAGAAGGACGGUACCUGAGUAAGAAGCCCCGGCUAACUACGUGCCAGCAGCCGCGGUAAUACGUAGGGGGCAAGCGUUAUCCGGAUUUACUGGGUGUAAAGGGAGCGUAGACGGCGAAGAAAGUCUGAAGUGAAAGCCCGCGGCUCAACCGCGGAAUGGCUUUGGAAACUUUUUUGCUGGAGUACCGGAGAGGUAAGCGGAAUUCCUAGUGUAGCGGUGAAAUGCGUAGAUAUUAGGAGGAACACCAGUGGCGAAGGCGGCCUGCUGGACUGCAACUGACGUUGAGGCUCGAAGGCGUGGGGAGCAAACAGGAUUAGAUACCCCAGUAAC